CCAAACUCCCGAACGGCAAUACACGAACUGCUGGUAACCGUCGAACAGUAAUAUCCCCAAAGCGGCUUUCGUUCCAUCCAGCAGUCUCUAAACGUGAAGAAGAAAUCCCCCCCAAUAACGAGACAGAAGCUCUGCAUUGAGGGUCAAACAGAAUCUGGUUUUACUGUGGGCUACCUGCCCGUAUUUAUGCAGGUCUCCCACCUGGUGGACACUCCCCUAGGGGACCAAAUGGGAGACUUAAACUACAGACAGAUAGAGGGACAUUUCAGACACACAGUCACUUAUUUUACCCACAGUGCAUUAUGAUUCCCUCCCCUCUGCCCUGGAGUUAAUUACCAAGUAACUCCAUUAACUCCAGGACAAGGACAGUCGCCAUUUUAGACAUAAAAUAAUAAAAGACAUAAAAAUACAUAACUACAUGAAAACUGAACAUUUCCCAUUCGUAUUACAUGUCCCCAGAUAGCCUGGAUCUGAGUGCAUAUUAUUAGCGAAUAGCGCUCAG